AGAUACACUGCCACUCUGUUAGAGGAGGGGGGGGCAGGGAUGUCUGUAAUGAUGUCGUUAUGCCUGACAGAGAAACUUUCAUCAGAGCAGAUCAGACUCCAGGAGUUUUUGUUCCUUCCCAGUCCAGAGU